rnacentral:rRNA from 1 species
GAUGAACGCUGACAGAAUGCUUAACACAUGCAAGUCAACUUGAACUUCGGUUUGGGUGGCGGACGGGUGAGUAACGCGUAAAGAACUUGCCUCACAGAUAGGGACAACAUUUGGAAACGAAUGCUAAUACCUGAUAUUAUGAUUUUAGGGCAUCCUAGGAUUAUGAAAGCUAUAUGCGCUGUGAGAGAGCUUUGCGUCCCAUUAGCUAGUUGGAGAGGUAACGGCUCACCAAGGCGAUGAUGGGUAGCCGGCCUGAGAGGGUGAUCGGCCACAAGGGGACUGAGACACGGCCCUUACUCCUACGGGAGGCAGCAGUGGGGAAUAUUGGACAAUGGACCAAGAGUCUGAUCCAGCAAUUCUGUGUGCACGAUGAAGUCUUUCGGAAUGUAAAGUGCUUUCAGUUGGGAAGAAAAAAAUGACGGUACCAACAGAAGAAGUGACGGCUAAAUACGUG